CCGCUGGUCCGGGCCCCUCUGGUGAAAGUCUUCGGCGCUUUCACGAUGUCGGACCCCAUAC
rfam:Rhizobium sp. Leaf306 contig_7, whole genome shotgun sequence.